rnacentral:rRNA from 1 species
CUUUACUGUAGCCUGGUAUUGGGUUCGGGCUUUGACUGCGCAGGAUAGGUGGGAGACUAUGAAGCUGCCCUUGUGGGGGCAGUGGAGUCAUCAGUGAGAUACCACUCUGUCAAGGCUAGAAUUCUAACCGUCUGCCGUUAUCCGGCGACAGAACAGUAUCAGGUGGGCAGUUUGACUGGGGCGGUCGCCUCCUAAAUGGUAACGGAGGCGCGCAAAGGUUCCCUCAGGCUGGUUGGAAAUCAGCCGAAGAGUGUAAAGGCAGAAGGGAGCUUGACUGCAAGAGCAGCAACUCAAGCAGGGACGAAAGUCGGCCUUAGUGAUCCGACGGCGCUGAGUGGAAGGGCCGUCGCUCAACGGAUAAAAGUUA